UAGUCAUACGCUCGACUCAAAGAUUAAGCCAUGCAUGUCUAAGUAUGAGCACGUUUACGUGCGAGACCGCGAAUGGCUCAGUAAAUCGGUUGUGGUCUCUUGGAUCCGAUAUAAGUAAAUUUAUAUGUUACUUGGAUAACCGUGGCAAUUCUAGAGCUAAUACAUGCAGUUGUAAGCGGCGCCCUCGCGGGCGUCGUGCAUUCAUUAGGUAAAGACCAUUGGGACUGCGUGUCGCUUAACCGCGUGCACGUAUCUGUCCCUCGACUGGUGACUCUAAAUGACCACGCAGAUCGCACGGCCUCGCGCCGGCGACGGUUCUAUCGAGUGUCUGAACUAUCAGCCUGGCGGUAGGUUAAGAGCCUACCGUGGCUGUGACGGGUGACGGGGAAUCUGGGUUCGAUUCCGGAGAGGCAGCCUGAGAAACGGCUACCACAUCCAAGGAAGGCAGCAGGCGCGCAAAUUACCCAAUCCCGGCACGGGGAGGUAGUGACGAAAAAUAACGGUGCGGCGCUCGCAUGAGCGUCCGUAAUCGGAAUGAGUCGGCUCUAAAUCCUUGAACGAGGAUCUAUUGGAGGGCAAGUCUGGUGCCAGCAGCCGCGGUAAUUCCAGCUCCAAUAGCGCAUAUUAAAGUUGUUGCGGUUAAAACGCUCGUAGUCGGAUUUCGGUAGCGGCCGGUGCGGUCCGCGCUUGUUUCGCGGUUACUGCAUCGAUCGUUACGGAACGAGCCCGAGUCGCCCGUCCGAUCCUCUUCAUCGAGUGUCGGGGGUGGCGGGCACGUUUACUUUGAGAAAAACAGAGUGCUCAAAAGCCGGCAAUAGCUAAACGUUAACGCUCGAAUGUCGUUGCAUGGAAUAAUGGAAUAGGACCUCGGCGUGUGCGCGUGCCAUUCUCACUUAUGUGCGGGUGGUGCGUGUAUGCAAUCCCCAAUUCUGUUGGUCUCAGGGGCCGAGGUAAUGAUAAACGGGAGUAGUGACGGGGGCAUUCGUACCGCGGCGCGAGAGGUGAAAUUCUUGGACCGUCGCGGGACGCACCGAGGCGAAAGCGUUUGCCAAGAACGCUUCCAUCGAUCAAGAGCGAAAGCUAGAGGUUCGAAGGCGAUCAGAUACCGCCCUAGUUCUAGCCAUAAACGAUGCCGACCGCUGAUCCGCCGUGGUUACUAGACCGACCCGACGGGACGACCCCGGGAAACCAGAGUUUUCGGGUUCCGGGGGAAGUAUGGUCGCAAGGCUGGAACUUAAAAGCAUUGACGGAAAGGCACCACCAGGAGUGGGGCCUGCGGCUUAAUUUGACUCAACACGGGAAAUCCUACCAGGCCCGGACACCUUUAGGAUUGACAGACUGAUGGCUCUUUCUCGAUCAGGUGGGUGGUGGUGCAUGGCCGUUCUUAGUUCGUGGAGCGAUCUGUCUGGUUUAUUCCGAUAACGAACGAGGCUCCAGCCUACUAACUAGGCCGAACAAAUCCGAGGUGCAUAAAUAUAAGCGUCUGGCACUCGGCGCGCAAUCGAUUCGUGGCGUGUGUUGGCCAUGCGUUCGCUUCGGUGGGCGUGUGGUUGCACGCGUUGCGGGCGAUUGUGUUGUUGUGGUGUCGGGUUUCCUCGGUCGUACUUCUUAGGGGGACAAACGGCGUUUAGCCGAAUGAAACGGAGCAAUAACAGGUCUGUGAUGCCCUCAGAUGUCCUGGGCUGCACGCGCGCCACAAUGGAGGUCUCAGAGCGUUUUCCCUGCCCCAUAGGGCCGGGUAAUCGCUGAAAGUCCGCUUCUUAGUCGGGACAGGGAGCUGAAACGUUCCCUUGCACAAGGAAUUCCUAGUAGGCGCCCCUCACUAAUCGGGGACGAUUGCGUCCCUGCCCUUUGUACACACCGCCCGUCGCUACUACCGAUUGGGUGGUCCAGUGAGGCCUUUGGACCGUGUGACGUCGCCGGCGCCUUUCGGGGCAUCGGUCGUCGCGUGGGAAUCUGUCCAAACUUGAUCGCCUAGAGGAAGUAAAAGUCGUAACAAGGUUUCCGUAG
rnacentral:rRNA from 1 species